rnacentral:tRNA from 1 species
GACGAUAAGUUCGCUUGUAGAGCGCACCCUUGGUAAGGGUGAGGUCGGCAGUUCGAAUCUGCCUAUCAGCACCA